GACAAACGCUGGCGGCUUGCUCCCUAUAUGCAAGUCAAGGGGGCCCGCAGGGGCAACCGGCAAACGGGUGCUUAACACGUGAGCAAUCUGCCUAAACUUGGGGAAUAGCCGGCCCAACGGCCGGGUAAUACCGCAUACCCUCCUCGGGUGGCAUCACCUGGGGAGAAAACUUUUUAGGCUUCUAAAGAACCUCGCGGCCUAUCACCUAUUUGGUGGGGUAACGGCCUACCAAGGUUUUGACAGGUAGCUGGUCUGAAAGGAUGGCCAGCCACAUUGGGACUGAAAUACGGCCCAAACUCCUACGGGAGGCAGCAGUGGGAAAUAUUGCGCAUUGGCCAAAAGGCUGACCCACCGACCCCGCGUGGGGAAUAAAGCAUUUCGGUGUGUAAACCCCUGUUGCUCGGAACAAACAAGCGUUUUCAACCGCUCUGACGGUACCGGGUGAGGAAGCACCGGUUAACUCCGUGCCAGCA
rnacentral:rRNA from 1 species